rnacentral:rRNA from 1 species
GACGAACGCUGGCGGCGUGCUUAACACAAGCAAGUCGAACGGAAAGGCCCUGCUUUUGUGGGGUGCUCGAGUGGCGAACGGGUGAGUAACACGUGAGUAACCUGCCCUUGACUUUGGGAUAACUUCAGGAAACUGGGGCUAAUACCGGAUAGGAGCUCCUGCUGCAUGGUGGGGGUUGGAAAGUUUCGGCGGUUGGGGAUGGACUCGCGGCUUAUCAGCUUGUUGGUGGGGUAGUGGCUUACCAAGGCUUUGACGGGUAGCCGGCCUGAGAGGGUGACCGGCCACAUUGGGACUGAGAUACGGCCCAGACUCCUACGGGAGGCAGCAGUGGGGAAUAUUGCACAAUGGGCGGAAGCCUGAUGCAGCAACGCCGCGUGCGGGAUGACGGCCUUCGGGUUGUAAACCGCUUUCGCCUGUGACGAAGCGUGAAUGACGGUAAUGGGUAAAGAAGCACCGGCUAACUACGUGCCAGCAGCCGCGGUGAUACGUAGGGUGCGAGCGUUGUCCGGAUUUAUUGGGCGUAAAGGGCUCGUAGGUGGUUGAUCGCGUCGGAAGUGUAAUCUUGGGGCUUAACCCUGAGCGUGCUUUCGAUACGGGUUGACUUGAGGAAGGUAGGGGAGAAUGGAAUUCCUGGUGGAGCGGUGGAAUGCGCAGAUAUCAGGAGGAACACCAGUGGCGAAGGCGGUUCUCUGGGCCUUUCCUGACGCUGAGGAGCGAAAGCGUGGGGAGCGAACAGGCUUAGAUACCCUGGUAGUCCACGCUGUAAACGGUGGGUACUAGGUGUGGGGUCCAUUCCACGGGUUCCGUGCCGUAGCUAACGCUUUAAGUACCCCGCCUGGGGAGUACGGCCGCAAGGCUAAAACUCAAAGGAAUUGACGGGGCCCCGCACAAGCGGCGGAGCAUGCGGAUUAAUUCGAUGCAACGCGUAGAACCUUACCUGGGUUUGACAUGGAUCGGGAGUGCUCAGAGAUGGGUGUGCCUCUUUUGGGGUCGGUUCACAGGUGGUGCAUGGCUGUCGUCAGCUCGUGUCGUGAGAUGUUGGGUUAAGUCCCGCAACGAGCGCAACCCUUGUUCACUGUUGCCAGCACGUUAUGGUGGGGACUCAGUGGAGACCGCCGGGGUCAACUCGGAGGAAGGUGGGGAUGACGUCAAGCCAUCAUGCCCCUUAUGUCCAGGGCUUCACGCAUGCUACAAUGGCUGGUACAGAGAGUGGCGAGCCUGUGAGGGUGAGCGAAUCUCGGAAAGCCGGUCUCAGUUCGGAUUGGGGUCUGCAACUCGACCUCAUGAAGUCGGAGUCGCUAGUAAUCGCAGAUCAGCAACGCUGCGGUGAAUACGUUCCCGGG